rfam:Candidatus Nanopusillus sp. Nst1 Nst1_C1, whole genome shotgun sequence.
GGGCCCGUAGUCUAGUGGCAGGACGGUGGGCUCCAGACCCAUUGACGGGGGUUCGAAUCCCCCCGGGCCCA